CCCAGGGGGUAAGGGUGUCACAGUGUGUGCAGUGCCCAGGGGGUAAGGGUGUCACAGUGUGUGCAGUGCCCAGGGGUAAGGGUGUCACAGUGUGUGCAGUGCCCAGGGGGUGAUGAUGUCACAGUGUGUGCAGUGCCCAGGGGAUGAGGGUGUCACAGUGUGUGCAUUGCCCAGGGGGUGAUGAUGUCACAGUGUGUGCAGUGCCCAGGGGGUGAGAGUGUCACAGUGUGUGCAGUGCCCAGGGGGUGAUGAUGUCACAGUGUGUGCAGUGCCCAGGGGGUGAGGGUGUCACAGUGUGUGCAGUGCCCAGGGGGUGAUGAUGUCACAGUGUGUGCAGUGCCCAGGGGGUGAUGAUGUCACAGUGUGUGCAGUGCCCAGGGGGUGAGGGUGUCACAGUGUGUGCAUUGCCCAGGGGGUGAUGAUGUCACAGUGUGUGCAGUGCCCAGGGGGUGAGGGUGUCACAGUGUGUGCAGUGCCCAGGGGGUGAUGGUGUCACAGUGUGUGCAGUGCCCAGGGGGUGAGGGUGUCACAGUGUGUGCAUUGCCCAGGGGGUGAUGAUGUCACAGUGUGUGCAGUGCCCAGGGGGUGAGGGUGUCACAGUGUGUGCAGUGUCAGGGGGUGAGGAUGUCACAGUGUGUGCAGUGCCCAGGGGGUGAGGGUAUCACAGUGUGUGCAGUGACAGGGGGUGAGGAUGUCACAGUGUGUGCAGUGCCCAGGGGGUGAUGGUGUCACAGUGUGUGCAGUGCCCAGGGGAUGAUGGUGUCACAGUGUGUGCAUUGCCCAGGGGGUGAUGGUGUCACAGUAUGUGCAAUGCCUAAGGGGUGAGGGUGUCACAGUGUGUGCAGUGCCCAGGGGGUGAGGGUGUCACAGUGUGUGCAGUGUCCAGGCGGUGAGUAUGUCACAGUGUGUGCAGUGUCCAGGGGGUGAGGGUGUCACAGUGUGGCAGUGUCAGGGGUGAGGGUGUCACAGUGUGUGCAGUGUCCAGGCGGUGAGUAUGUCACAGUGUGUGCAGUGUCCAGGCGGUGAGUGUGUCACAGUGUGUACAGUGUCCAAGGGGGUGAAGGUGUCACAGUGUGUGCAGUGUCAGGGGGUGAUGGUGUCACAGUGUGUGCAGUGUCCAGGGGAUGAUGGUGUCACAGUAUGCGCAGUGUCCAGGGGGUGAUGGUGUCACAGUGUGUGCAGUGUCCAGGGGGUGAAGGUGUCACAGUGUGUGCAGUAUCAGGGGGUGAGGAUGUCACAGUGUGUGCAGUGUCAGGAGGUGAGGUUGUCACACUGUGUGCAGUGUCAGGGGGUGAGGGGAUCACAGUGUGUGCAGUGUCAGGGGUUGAGGGUAUCACCGUGUGUGCAGUGUCCAGGGGGUGAUGGUAUCACAGUGUGUGCAGUGUCAGGGGGUGAGGGUGACACAGUGUGUGCAGUGUCAGGGGGUGAGGGUGUCACAGUGUGUGCAGUGUCAGGGGGUGAGGGUGUCACAGUGUGUGCAGUGUCAGGGGGUGAGGGUGUCACAGUGUGUGCAGUGUCAGGAGGUGAGGGGGUCACAGUGUGUGCAGUGUCAGGGGGUGACGGUGUCACAGUGUGUGCAGUGUCAGGGGGUGAGGGUGUCACAGUGUGUGCAGUGUCAGGGGGUGAGGGUGUCACAGUGUGUGCAGUGUCAGGGGGUGAGGGUGUCACAGUGUGUGCAGUGUCAGGAGAUGAGGGUGUCACAGUGUAUGCAGUGUCAGGGGGUGAGGGUGUCACAGUGUGUGCAGUGUCAGGGGGUGAUGGUGUCACAGUGUGUGCAGUGUCAGGGGGUGAGGGUGUCACAGUGUGUGCAGUGUCAGGGGGUGAGGGUGUCACAGUGUGUGCAGUGUCAGGGGGUGAGGGUGUCACAGUGUGUGCAGUGUCAGGGGAUGAGGGUGUCACAGUGUGUGCAGUGUCAUGGGGUGAUGGUGUCACAGUGUGUGCAGUGUCAGGGGGUGAUGGUGUCACAGUGUGUGCAGUGUCAGGGGGUGAGGGGUCACAGUGUGUGCAGUGUCAGGAGGUGAGGGGGUCACAGUGUGUGCAGUGUCUGAUGGUAACUGAUUGCUGAGUGCUGAGAAAUAACUCCUUAGAGAAACUGAACUUGAAACUCCGAAUAUUUUUACAUUGAGGUAAGUGGUAUGAUUUGUGUUUUAUAUCAUUAUGUGGAAAUAUUUUAUAAAAUUUAUUUUGGAGGAGUCUGAAAACUUCUAUUAUUAAGUCCUAUAGGUCAAGGAAGAGAUUACUUCACAAAUACAAUAAAAAUAGACAGUAGAAACAGUUUACUGACACUGAGUUAUAUGUAUUUCUAGUUAACAUUUGUUCACUAUGAUUUGUGUUCUUGUCAUUUCUCUGUCCCGCACACACUUGUCUCCAGUCUCAUGUCACCCACAGUCAUCUUUAUUAUUGGCCAUAAAACCUGUGUCUCUGGUACAGGCGUGGUGGCACACACCUUUAAACCCAGUACCCGGAGGCGCCAGCUUCUGAAGGUGGAGGCAGGUCUGCUCUACACAGCAAGUUCCAAGUAAAGAAGGGCCUCAGAGUGAGCUCUUGUCUUAAAAACCAAGCAAACAGCUAAUGAACACAAGUAAAUAAAUGCUCCAUAGUUAACAAUGACAAACAGUUAACUGCAGUGUGAUAGGUUUUCUCAGGGUUUGCUCUCAGACAAGAGCGCUGUGUAGCCCAGGAUGACCCUAAACUCAUGGUCGUCCUGCCUCGGCUUCCCAGGUCCUGGGAUUAUAGGUGUGUAUAACCCCCACAUCGAAUUUUUCUCCUGUUUUUGUUUUGGGGGACUUGCUGUUGUUUCAUUGAUUGUGGGUCUUGUUUGGUCUUUUGCCUUGAACCACUGACAUUCAUUUUAACCCAGAUUUGACGGGGAGAAGCGUGAGAUCACUGUGCAGGCAUGGUUGUCUCUAGUCCAUCCUUCAGGGUCCUGGCUGUGUCCUUGCACCUCUCUUCUCUGUGUGAUGUUCCUGGUGUCUUUCCUAGGUCCCCAGUCCUGACAGUUAGGACCCCACAGCUUCACUUAUUACUUCACUAAUUCGUUCAGUCCUUCUCUGUGCCAGUCACACUGGGCAUGAGGGUCAGUCACUGUGGGAAGAGACAAUUCAGGCUGCCGCAGCAAGGAAUACAAACAAGAAAACUGACUAGACUUGCGUUUUACACGUCCAUGACUACAGCUGGAGUAAUAUCUAAUGUGUGUCUACUAAGGAGAGAUGCUGUCCAGUUGCGGUUACUAUUAAACUUUAUAGGACCUGCACAGAUUCUUGCUGUGUUGGCAACUGAACCUGGACUUUGUGAAUGUUAGGCACACACUCUGCCACUAACAAAAAGCAAUGACAAAUAGCAGUUGAAUGAACUAUUACAGCCGGGCGGUGGUGGCGCACGCCUUAAUCCCAGCACUUGGGAGACAAAGGCAGGUGGAUUUCUGAGUUUGAGGCCAGCCUGGUCUACAGAGUGAGUUCUAGAACAGCCAGGGAAACAUCUGGAAAGUCAGUAUACAUAUGGAAGGCUUCUCUUUUGUUUGUUUGAUUUUUUUAAUUGAAAAAUUAUGGUAGGCUGGAUGAUGGCUUAGCAGUCAAGAAUAUUCACUGCCCUCGUAAAGCACCGAGGUUAGGUUCCCAGCACCCACAAUGCAGCUUACAGCCAUCUGUAACUUGAGUUCCAAGAGAUCCAGCCUAGUCCCUGACCUCUGUAGGCACCAGGCACUCAGGCGGUGCUUUUACAUACAUACAUACAGGCAAAACACUCAUACACAUAAAGUAAAAAUAAAUAAAUCUUUAAAAAAACAAUAAGCAAACAAAGCCAAAACUCUGGAAUCAUGUCACAACAGUUACCUCUGAUCUGGAAUCAAUGUCACAACAGUUACCUCUGAGUGGCCAGCACCGCGCCCCCCCUUUCCCCCAGGCCUUCUAACCUCGGACUGAGGAAACCGAUGGUGGCUUCUUAUUUCUUAAGAAUCUCAUAAAUCCCCAGACUGGCCUUAAGAUCCUGACACCCCUGCCCCACCUCCGGGUACUAGGACUGCAGGCUUGUGCCACUCAGGCCUUGUGGGACUCAGGCAAGGCUGCCCAAGGAGACGAUACUUAGAGGGUGUGAGGAGGUCAAGUCCCUGUCUAGUCUGCAGCGCUCUGUCUGCUCUCCCUUUCAUGAAUCCCACUCUGGAGGAGCGGAUUUUGUGACUUUUUUUGUAAUUUUCUAUAGUUACUGUC